GUCGAGUGAUCAGUUGAAGAGCUGUCCCAUAAAACAGAGUCAACCAGUCAACAUUCCUCCCUCUCUCCCCCAAAUCAAACUAUCCUUGGGUGAGGAUUAAAAAACUUUCAACUCAGGUAUCCUGGCUCAGCUAGCCAGUGCAUUAUGCAAUGGAUGUUCUAUGUGAAGUCAAGAGUUUCCUUUUGGCCUUUCACUUUGUACAAAGAAAACACGGGUGCAUACAUUUUACAGUGUCGAUCUUAUUUAUUGUUCUCUGUGGAAUGCUAUGUUUAAUGGCACAGUAUGUUGUCGAAGCUGCUGAAAUGUGACACAUGUCCGUGUCUAAAUGCUGCAGAACAGUGUGACUGAUGAUCUUAAACAGAAGUGUUAUGUUACAGCUGAGGUCUGAUGGUUUUAAACCAAUGCCUGUGUGUAUGGCCAGCCACAAACUCCGGGGAUGUUCAUUAUCUGUACAUGUAUAUACAAA